AUUGAACGCUGGCGGCAUGCCUUACACAUGCAAGUCGAACGGUAACAGGUUAAGCUGACGAGUGGCGAACGGGUGAGUAAUACAUCGGAACGUGCCCAAUAGUGGGGGAUAGCCCGGCGAAAGCCGGAUUAAUACCGCAUACGACCUACGGGUGAAAGCGGGGGAUCGCAAGACCUCGCGCUAUUGGAGCGGCCGAUGUCAGAUUAGCUAGUUGGCGGGGUAAAGGCCUACCAAGGCGACGAUCUGUAGCUGGUCUGAGAGGACGACCAGCCACACUGGGACUGAGACACGGCCCAGACUCCUACGGGAGGCAGCAGUGGGGAAUUUUGGACAAUGGGGGCAACCCUGAUCCAGCCAUGCCGCGUGCGGGAAGAAGGCCUUCGGGUUGUAAACCGCUUUUGUCGGGGAAGAAACGGUCUGCGCUAAUACCGCGGGCUAAUGACGGUACCCGAAGAAUAAGCACCGGCUAACUACGUGCCAGCAGCCGCGGUAACAC
rnacentral:rRNA from 1 species